rnacentral:rRNA from 1 species
GUGUCAGCCGCCGCGGUAAAACGUAGGAGACGAGCGUUAUCCGGAUUUACUGGGCGUAAAGGGCAAGUAGGCGGUGGGCAAAGUUGGACGUGACAUCUCUCGGCUUAACUGGGAGGGGUCGUCCAAAACUAGCCGACUAGAGGGCAGGAGAGGGGAGUGGAAUUCCUAGUGUAGCGGUGGAAUGCUUAGAGAUUAGGAAGAACACCAGUGGCGAAGGCGGCUCUCUGGCCUGACCCUGACGCUGAGAGGCGAAAGCUAGGGGAGCGAACGGGCUUAGAUACCCCGGUAGUCCUAGCUGUAAACGUUGGGUACUGGGUAUUGGGGGGCAACAAACCCUCAGUGCCGAAGCGAACGCGUUAAGUAUCCCGCCUGGGGACUACGGCCGCAAGGUUAAA